rnacentral:rRNA from 1 species
CCUACGGGUGGCAGCAGUAGGGAAUCUUCGGCAAUGGGCGAAAGCCUGACCGAGCAACGCCGCGUGAAUGAAGAAGGCCUUCGGGUUGUAAAAUUCUGUUAUAAGGGAAGAAAGGUGAUAGGAGGAAAUGACUAUCAAUUGACGGUACCUUAUGAGAAAGCCACGGCUAACUACGUGCCAGCAGCCGCGGUAAUACGUAGGUGGCAAGCGUUAUCCGGAAUUAUUGGGCGUAAAGAGCGCGCAGGUGGUUAAUUAAGUCUGAUGUGAAAGCCCACGGCUUAACCGUGGAGGGUCAUUGGAAACUGGUUGUCUUGAGUACAGUAGAGGUGGGCGGAAUUCGUGGUGUAGCGGUGAAAUGCUUAGAUAUCACGAAGAACUCCGAUUGCGAAGGCAGUUCACUGGACUGCAACUGACACUGAGGCUCGAAAGUGUGGGUAUCAAACAGGAUUAGAUACCCCAGUAGUC